UGAGGUCAGGCAAGAACACCCGCUGAC
rnacentral:rRNA from 1 species